rnacentral:lncRNA from 1 species
CUUCCAGUACACUACGACUACGAGUACAGUAGAGGGCAGACCGAUGGUGGAGUCUCCAGCGACCAGCAACACUUUCUCGAAUCAGUCCUGUUUUCGGUUUCCUUCCCGUCAAUUAAAUUGGUAGCCAGAGAGAUCAGAGAAGAGCAAACCCUUCGUGAGUUCUUCUCCCAAUUCCUUCCCGUUAUUUACAUGUUUUUUUUUUUUUUUUUUUUUUUUUUUUUUACAUUAUUUACAUUUUUUUCCCCUCAAUUCCUUUCCCCAAAUCGCCAUUCACCCAUUAUUUACAUAGUUUUUUCCUAGCAUGUUUAUUGUUUAAUUAUUGGUUUUGUUUUGUUUUUUUUUUCCUUUUUUUUUGUUUUUUGUUUUUUUUUUUGAGUAGUUUUUUAUGCUCUAUGUUUGAUUUGUAUUGAUUUUUAGGGUUUUGAAUUGCUUCAACUUCGAUUCGAGGCUUACUUAUUGUUUGGGGAUUUUGUUACAAAUUAUUGAAAGUUUUGUAAUGCCAAAGUGAAUAAGUGACCCGGUGAUUAUUAAUUAUUAUCAACUGAUUCAACUCAAAUGACUUUUGGCAGUGGAAUGACUUGAUUAUUGAAAGUUUUUGUAAUGCCAAAGUGAAUAAGAUGGAAAAUCUUUUUGUAUGACAGUAUGAGCUUGAACUUCUUGAAUUUGGCAGUGGAAUGACUACAUGUUAUUUAUUAUAAGAGUCUAUCUAUUUAAUGUCUUUGAGGAUUUUUAUCAAAAUGGGGUGGCCAAUGCUGGAACUAAUUCUACUUGCUUGACUUUUUUCUUUGUUGUCUAUCAUUUGAUUCAUUUCUUUCGGAUGAGUUUCGAUGGUUGAUCAUAUCUUGA